CCUACGGGAGGCAGCAGUGGGGAAUUUUCCGCAAUGGGCGAAAGCCUGACGGAGCAACGCCGCGUGAGGGAUGAAGGCCUCUGGGCUGAAAACCUCUUUUCUCAAGGAAGAAGAUCUGACGGUACUUGAGGAAUAAGCCACGGCUAAUUCCGUGCCAGCAGCCGCGGUAAUACGGGAGUGGCAAGCGUUAUCCGGAAUUAUUGGGCGUAAAGCGUCCGCAGGCGGCCUUUUAAGUCUGUUGUUAAAGCGUAGAGCUUAACUCCAUUUAAGCAAUGGAAACUGGAAGGCUAGAGUGUGGUAGGGGCAGAGGGAAUUCCCGGUGUAGCGGUGAAAUGCGUAGAUAUCGGGAAGAACACCAGUGGCGAAGGCGCUCUGCUGGGCCAUAACUGACACUGAGGAGCGAAAGCGUGGGGAGCGAACAGGAUUAUAUACCCUGGUAGUCCACGCCGUAAACGGUGGGCGCUAGUUGUGCGAACCUUCCACGGUUUGUGCGACGCAGCUAACGCAUUAAGCGCCCCGCCUGGGGAGUACGAUCGCAAGAUUAAAACUCAAAUGAAUUGACGG
rnacentral:rRNA from 1 species